GAAAUUAGGAAAUAAAGCAGGAGGAACAAAGCCACCCCAGAAUUAAAAUGCUUAUAGAAAGCAUAAAACUUUUUUUUUUUUUCAGAGUGCAACCCCAGUGUCCCAGCACACAUCCCCGUUGCAGCAGAGCUCAGUGAGGCAGUGGUUGGAGCUUGUCUUGCAGCAGGACGUCUCGGAGGAAUACAGUGCAUCGUGUUCCCAGGCUGCCAGCUCCAUAAUGAAACCAUUUUUCAGGUGGUAGAAAACUGUCCAAGUGGGGGCCCUUCAAGAGAGGAAUGGCGUAGAAUGGAAAAGGAGGCUGCCCUGUGUGAGAGACAUCAGGAAGCCCAGGUCAGGCACCAGCUUCAAGCCCCUCCUGAUGCUGGGGCAACGUGAGCAUGGCCAGGCAGGUGUGUGCCUCUCCUGCACUGACUGCUGAAGGAGCCUGAGUGGUUUUCACCAACAAUUCACAAGGCUGAUAUCACGUGAGCCGUGAAUGGGUGGUAACAGUCCACUGUGCUCCAUGAUCCAGAAACAGGCCAUGGUGCUGCCCUGGGGUAUGGGUCUGCCUCCUCCAGCCCGCAUCCACUCCUGCUUGUCUCAUCAGCCAGGGAACAUCAGGAGCUGUGAGAUUUAUUGCUGCCCUUGUUGGAGUGUUCCUGGUGGACCCCCUAGCACUGCACCACUGCAGCAUUCUGCAGUACCCCCAGCGAUUCCUUCAGCUUCUUCACAGGUCAGCAAAGAAGGUCCGUUGACUCAACACCUGGUCAGCUGCUCUCAUGUUCUCAACAAAAGCACCAAACUUAUGUGGAAGACCUUAAGUGGAUGCAAUUGUCACUGCAGUUGGAAGCCAAUCAACGCGUUGUGA
rnacentral:lncRNA from 1 species